rnacentral:rRNA from 1 species
UACGUAGGGGGCAAGCGUUGUCCGGAAUCAUUGGGCGUAAAGCGCGUGUAGGCGGCCCGGUAAGUCCGCUGUGAAAGUCCUGGGCUCAACCCUGGAAUGCCGGUGGAUACUGUCGGGCUCGAGUCCGGAAGAGGCGAGUGGAAUUCCUGGUGUAGCGGUGAAAUGCGCAGAUAUCAGGAGGAACACCAAUGGCGAAGGCAGCUCGCUGGGACGGUACUGACGCUGAGACGCGAAAGCGUGGGGAGCAAACAGG